UUUGUCACCCUAAACUCGCCUUCCCCCUAACUUAAAUAUCACCCUUUCCUUCACCCAAAAUCAAAACCCAAAACCCAGUUCCUCCCACCGCCGUCGCCAACACAGAUCACCGCCACCGCAUUGAUUUCUCUCUACAUCUCCAUCGUCUGUUUUCUAACAUCUGCGUUCAUAGUGGUUUUUUUUUUCCUAGGGUUUUGAUUUGGAAAACCGGUUUUGCUGUUGAUUCACCACCAAUCUCCUCUUUCACAGUGCUGGUGAUUGUAAGGGAAAACUUCAUAUCUAUUACCUACAAACUUCUGAUUAUUCAUGCUUUCAGGGUGCUCAUGACUCAAGUAAAAAGGAGGCUAAUUCUGAAGAAGCCACCGAUAGACAGUCCUUCCUUGCAUCAGGGGGCCGCUAUUGAAUGAUCCAUCUUCAUGAUGUCAGUAGGGAAAAUGUCAUAUCUCAAUUGGGAGAGGUUGAAGAAGAAUAGGGUCAAAGCCGAAGUUCGACAUGGAGAGAUUAUCUCUUUUGAGCUUGGAGGAGUACUUAAAUUUGAUUCUAGAUGAUGCUAGAAAAGUCAACAUCAAGAGGAAGAGAAAAAAACUUUACAUGGGUUCAUUUUCUCAUUUUCCUUUACUUUUAAUCUCUUAAAUGUGCAUACUCUGAAUGUGGUACAUCUAUUUUGUUAUGGGUCAAUUACAUAAAAAAAAAAAAAAAAUGUAAAGGGUAGAUUCUUCUUAAGAGAUGCAACACAACAACCACCUCUCUCUCUCUCUCUCUCUCAAUAGUGGAAAGUGAUGAUUUCAGCAAUUGUGUGAAUUGGCAUUAUGUUUCUUUUUCAAUCCCAUUGAGGUCUAGCAUCUUUGUUUACUGGCAAUGUUAGAAUUUAAAUACAUCUUGGAUAUCAAGAAUGAUUAAUGUAAUUAUGAAAGAUAUUUGAUUGAAUGAGUAUGAAAUUAACUA